CCUACGGGAGGCAGCAGUGAGGAAUAUUGGUCAAUGGGCGAGAGACUGAACCAGCCAAGUCGCGUGAGGGAUGACGGUCCAAUGGAUUGUAAACCUCUUUUGUCAGGGAAUAAAGUCGAGCAUGUGUACUCCGAUGAGUGUACCUGAUGAAAAAGCAUCGGCUAACUCCGUGCCAGCAGCCGCGGUAAUACGGAGGAUGCGAGCGUUAUCCGGAUUUAUUGGGUUUAAAGGGUGCGUAGGCGGGCUGUUAAGUCAGCGGUAAAAAUGCGGGUCUCAACGCCGUACAGCCGUUGAAACUGGGAGUCUUGAGUAGGCGAGAGGUAUGCGGAAUGCGUGGUGUAGCGGUGAAAUGCAUAGAUAUCACGAAGAACUCCGAUUGCGAAGGCAGCAUGCCGG
rnacentral:rRNA from 1 species